rnacentral:rRNA from 1 species
GGAAGACUGAGGGGGGCUGCUCCUAGUACGAGAGGACCGGAGUGGACGCAUCACUGGUGUUCGGGUUGUCAUGCCAAUGGCACUGCCCGGUAGCUAAAUGCGGAAAAGAUAAGUGCUGAAAGCAUCUAAGCACGAAACUUGCCCCGAGAUGAGUCUUCCCUGAGACUUUGAGUCUCCUGAAGGAACGUUAAAGACGAUGACGUUGAUAGGCCGGGUGUGUAAGCGCAGCGAUGCGUUGAGCUAACCGGUACUAAUGAACCGUGAGGCUUAACCUUACAACGCCGAAGGUGUUU